rnacentral:rRNA from 1 species
UACGGGGGGAGCAAGCGUUGUUCGGAUUUACUGGGCGUAAAGGGCGCGUAGGCGGCCAGCACAAGUCGGUUGUGAAAUCUCCGGGCUUAACCCGGAAAGGUCAAUCGAUACUGCGGGGCUAGAGUGCAGAAGGGGCAACUGGAAUUCUCGGUGUAGCGGUGAAAUGCGUAGAUAUCGAGAGGAACACCUGCGGCGAAGGCGGGUUGCUGGGCUGACACUGACGCUGACAGCGCGAAAGCUAGGGGAGCGAACGGG